AUACCGUGGUAAUUCUAGAGCUAAUACAUGCUAAAAACCUCGACUUCGGAAGGGGUGUAUUUAUUAGAUAAAAAACCAAUGCCCUUCGGGGCUCCUUGGUGAUUCAUAAUAACUCUAACGAAUCGCAUGGCCUUGCGCCGGCGAUGGUUCAUUCAAAUUUCUGCCCUAUCAACUUUCGAUGGUAGGAUAGUGGCCUACCAUGGUGUUAACGGGUAACGGGGAAUUAGGGUUCUAUUCCGGAGAGGGAGCCUGAGAAACGGCUACCACAUCCAAGGAAGGCAGCAGGCGCGCAAAUUACCCAAUCCCGACACGGGGAGGUAGUGACAAUAAAUACUGAUACAGGGCCCUUUCGGGUCUUGUAAUUGGAAUGAGUACAAUUUAAAUCCCUUAACGAGGAACAAUUGGAGGGCAAGUCUGGUGGACUGACACAGUCCCGGCAAGGGGUGUGGGCUUCGGUCCCCCUUCGCUGGCGCCAGCGACAGGCGGUCGUCCCGGGCGCUCAGGGGGCCCGGGGAGAUCGGCUUAGUGGAGGUUACCCUCCGCGAGGUGUUCGGCACGGGGAAGGGCCAUCUUGGCUUCAUCCCGUGGUCGGCAGGAACUGUACUGCCGGCCUUAACGCGCGCAAGGACGCCGGUGGACGAUGCUUUCCACUUGAGGGACGUGCUAAACCCGCCCGUCAAGGGCCUGGAGCGACCUUUUGCCAGGGCGCUCCUCCAGGGAUGAAUAGGCCAGCAGCCGCGGUAAUUCCAGCUCCAAUAGCGUAUAUUAAAGUUGUUGCAGUUAAAAAGCUCGUAGUUGAACCUUGGGCCUGGCUGGCCGGUCCGCCUCACCGCGUGCACUGGUCCGGCCGGGCCUUUCCUUCUGGGGAUCCACAUGCCCUUCACUGGGUGUGCCGGGGAACCAGGACUUUUACUUUGAAAAAAUUAGAGUGUUCAAAGCAGGCCUAUGCUCGAAUACAUUAGCAUGGAAUAAUAGAAUAGGACGUGUGGUUCUAUUUUGUUGGUUUCUAGGACCGCCGUAAUGAUUAAUAGGGAUAGUCGGGGGCAUCAGUAUUCAAUUGUCAGAGGUGAAAUUCUUGGAUUUAUUGAAGACUAACUACUGCGAAAGCAUUUGCCAAGGAUGUUUUCAUUAAUCAGUGAACGAAAGUUAGGGGAUCGAAGACGAUUUUUCCGCAGUGUCCGGUCGUCCACAGCAACGCUAGUCCGGGGGUUCUCCCCCGGGCGACACCAUUCAACUGAGGGGCCCCUGCGUCCGGGCGGUGAGAACCGAUCCGCGCAGGUCACCCACAGCCAAGUCCCAGUUCCUUCUGGGAUGCAGUCUACAGACUGAAUGAGGGUGGGCCAGGGAGUCGAAAUGGGUGCUCCUGGUUUUUGAUACAGUCGAGUCCGGCGUCUCACGGGGCCGGUACUUACGCAGAUACCGUCGUAGUCUUAACCAUAAACUAUGCCGACUAGGGAUCGGACGGUGUUACUAUUUUGACCCGUUCGGCACCUUACGAGAAAUCAAAGUCUUUGGGUUCUGGGGGGAGUAUGGUCGCAAGGCUGAAACUUAAAGAAAUUGACGGAAGGGCACCACCAGGCGUGGAGCCUGCGGCUUAAUUUGACUCAACACGGGGAAACUCACCAGGUCCAGACACAAUAAGGAUUGACAGAUUGAGAGCUCUUUCUUGAUCUUGUGGGUGGUGGUGCAUGGCCGUUCUUAGUUGGUGGAGUGAUUUGUCUGCUUAAUUGCGAUAACGAACGAGACCUUAACCUGCUAAAUAGCCAGGCUAGCUUUGGCUGGUCGCCGGCUUCUUAGAGGGACUAUCGGCUCAAGCCGAUGGAAGUUUGAGGCAAUAACAGGUCACCUUAUGGCGGUGUCCACAGGCCUGUUUCAGAGACCCUCGUGGGAUCUCUUUAAGCUCAUCAUAUAUUGUGAUGUAUGUCUGAGCAACACCACUGGUACAGCGAAAGUCUUUAAAAGACCGAUGCUGUGGCGAACCUAGAUAUUUGGAUCGUCUCAACGCGCGGCAAGUGGUGGCCCCAGCAAGGGGUUUAGGUACGUGCUUCAAUGCUCUGUGAAAACAGAUCCCUUCGCUCAAGCGUCCUCGCGAGAGCAUAGGGGGUAUUCUUUUGAUUUAAGAUGCUGCGAGUAGGCUGUGAUGCCCUUAGAUGCUCUGGGCCGCACGCGCGCUACACUGACAGAGCCAACGAGUUCAUCACCUCGGCCGAAAGGUCUGGGUAAUCUUGUUAAACUCUGUCGUGCUGGGGAUAGAGCAUUGCAAUUAUUGCUCUUCAACGAGGAAUGCCUAGUAAGCGCGAGUCAUCAGCUCGCGUUGACUAUGUCCCUGCCCUUGAACCUUCGGUGGGCAAGGGGCUCAAAGAUACCAUGUCUAGGCCGGAUCGCCCCCGCUGAUCUGACGCCUAUGCCUUCCAAAUGCGUGGAAACCCCGGUGUCCGGGGCUACCCGCAGCCAAGGCUCUUUGGAGCUGCAGUUCACAGACUAACUGAAGGCAGGUGCUUGGUCGUCGAGCACCUAAAUUAUAGUCGGACCGCCUCUUUGUCGAGGUCGGAGCAUUGUUGUACACACCGCCCGUCGCUACUACCGAUUGAAUGGCUCAGUGAGGCCUUCGGACUGGCCCAGGGAGGUCGGCAACGACCACCCAGGGCCGGAAAGUUCGUCAAACUUGGUCAUUUAGAGGAAGUAAAAGUC
rnacentral:rRNA from 1 species